rnacentral:lncRNA from 1 species
CUUCCUUCUCUCAGCCCUCAGGUCCCGAGAGCCCCGGCCCAGAGCGGCCUCUGCUGGACAGUCAAGACACGAGACCCUGGGUUCAGCAAAUGUUUGCAGCGCCUUGCACUGUGCUGGGAACUAGGGAUGCAAAGAAAUGAGUUCCCUCGGAGAACCGGCACAUGUUCCAAGAAUGAGGACCUUCUUCAUUUGUCAAAACACUUCUGCGUGUACAUCAUUAAACCCUCAUCCACAUUAAACCCGGCUGAGCUUCCUGGGGCCCGAACCAGGAUGUCUGCCGCUGCAUUCAGCUUCUUACUAGAAGAAAAUACUGUCGGGGGGAUAACUAAGCCAGACACCCUACUAGGCGUUGUUUCAUGAAUCCUUCUAAGAAUUAUUAUUAUUCCAUUUUACAGGUGAGAAAAUGAAGGCACAGAGAAGACAAUGUUCUCAAGGUCGCAUAACUGGUCUUUGGAUCAACUCUUUCAACCAAUUGCCAGUUGGAAAAUCUUUGAAUUCACCUAUGACCUGGAAGCUCCUAGUUUGAGUUGUCCUGCUUUUCCGGACCAAAACAAUGGUCUUGCUCUGUCUCCCAGGAUCCAGGAUGGAGUGCAGUGGCAUGAUCAUGGCUCACUGUAGCCUCGAACUUCCUGCUUCAGCCUCCUGAGUAGCUGGAACUACAGGUGUGUAUCAUCAUGCCUAGCUAAUUUUUUUUUUUAAUGUUUUAUAGGGAUGGGGUCUCUGUGUGCUGCCCAGGCUGGUCUUGAAUUCCUGGGCUCGAGCAAUCCUUCAGACUCAGCCUCCCAAAGUGCUGGGAUUACAGGUGUGAGUCACUGCACCUGGCCAAAUUUGUUUUGUUUGACAUGACAUGCUAACUUCAUAGAGAAAAUGUCUCACAAAUACUGAAGCCUAAAUAACCAUAGUUUGUCUGUUAAUAAUGUUUUCAAAUGAAAAUAGUGUUUCAUAAAAAAGUGGCUAGGUUAGCUUUCAAUUCAUCACAUACAUACAUUUCCUUGGAACAACCACUUACUUUGGUAUUCAGCAAAAAUGCUUUAUGCAUACUUUUCAUUCAUUUAUAUGAAAAAGAUGUGUGUUCAAGAUCAAGAUUUUAUAAAAAUUAAGAAUUUUUGCUGCUUCAUUAAGGACAUUCAUAAGGACAUGAAUGGUGGUAAUACAAUGACUACUAGUAUAGUUUGGUGCCACUGCCUACAUUUGUGUUAAAGCACCAGAAGUUUUAUCCACAAUUGCUUUUGUAGCAUCAAUGGAAAAAUCAAAAUGCAAAAAAAGAGAUAAAUAACAUCUUAGUAAUAUUAUGAAAAUAGCUUUGACUCCACAGAUGUAAAAGGAUCAGACUCCUAGGAGUUUGUGAACCACACUUUGAGAACUGCUGGCCUAGAGAAAUAUCUUAGAAAAUUGUGAAGGACAUUAACUGUUUCAACUGCCUAGAGUAUCCCUUUCUUCAGGUAAGUGUUCUUUCCUCUGCUUUAAGCAACUAGUUUCAAUGGCGGUGGCUAUUUUCCUAUGGAGGCUGCCUCCUACCCUAUGGGUGACUGGUAUAGGGUAGACACCAGCCUCUUUAUAUUCAGUAUACUUUCUCAGAAUUCUUAAACUUGGAACCAGAAAAUGUCACUAAUAGUUGCUCUCUGGGAACAAAGUUAUGAAGUUCUGGCAUUUUGGUGAACCACCCAAGCAUGUAGAAAAAGCUAGUCUAAAAUAGGAUAGAUAAACCCAACUCUCAGAGAGAACCAGAAAUGGGAGAAGGCUUGGUAGCAUUCCAGUCCCUGGUUCCACUUGUCCUUGAGGCUCGACCACAUUCUUGCCCUUCCUGCUACUCUGUAAGCAUUUUGAUAAAUUUCCCUUGCCUCUAAACACUUUAUAUUUUCACAAACUUUAUGAGUUUGUCCAACUGUCUUUUUUUCUGAACACUUUUGCUAGCAUCAGUUGUUACACAGUUUAGUAGAUUCCACUUCAGAUUACGCUGAAUUUGAGUUUUCUCGACUUUGAAAAUAUUCUUGACUGCAGUUUUACUCAGACCAUUCAUAGAGGCUAUGAAUUCAUGUUAUUCACUUCAAAGUCAGUAUUAAAUUAUCAAAUAAACAUCAACAACUGAAUAGUGUUUGGUAACAACUGUCAACUCAUCAAGAGCCAAAGAAAAACACUAGAAAUUAUUUUCCUUCUUUCUUAAUUUAUCCAAAAUUGACUCCCAACAUCCUCAACUUAUUAAGCAACUGUUCUCACAGAAAGAUUAAUAAUCUAAACAAGUUUACUUUCUUUGUACAUCUUUUUUUUGCUGUUAUUGUUGCUACAAUUGAAUAAAAUAUAAUUAACUUGCACCUGGUAAAUGGCUUUUCUUGCUUGACUAAAAACCAAACUACUUGGAAACUUACUUUGGUUGAAGAUUCAUUUCAGACUUUUGUGGGAAAAAUCUACUGAGAUAUUUUGUUUUGAAGUUUCAAAUUUUUCUGACUCAGGGAGUAUUGUACAUCAAAGAUAGUGUGGCAAUUAUUUAGUCUGGUACUGUAGACCUAUGUUGUAUUCUUCUAAAGUAGCAAUGACAUAAUAACAUGUAUAAAACACAAUGCUUACAAUUGAUUUAGAUAACAAAAUAAUCUACUUUCCAUUCUAUUUUUAAAAUGUGAUAUUCAAAAUCUGUUUUUCUCUUCAUUUUCUUGUUUGUUUUAUUUUGGCAAGAUGCGUAUGCAAUAACAAUAAAAAAAUAAGAUAAAACGCAGUGGUAUGUGCUGAAUGUGUCCUCUAAAGAGCAUGUAUUGAAAUUUCAAUUCUUAAUGCAUUGUGUUGGGAGAUGGGGCUUAAUGAGAGAUGAUUAGGCCAGGGGGGUGAAGUGAAUGAAGUAAUAUUAUUAUCAUGAGAGUAGGUUUGAUAUAAAAGAUCAACCCCUUUCUCUCUGUUGUGCCCACCUUUGCCCUUAGCCGUGAGAUGACACAACAAGAAGGCCUUCACACAAUGCCAGC